AAAGAUCUCCAUUGGAUUUGCGAAGGCAACGAUCUAGUGGCGGCGAUCUCCGUCGGCGUUACCACGGUGGUUCUCCGGCGUGGGAGGUUGGUUAAGAGAGCAUAUGAUGCAUUGUUGUUGGACGCUGGUGGCACUCUUUUGCAAUUGGUGAAACCUGUCGAAGAGACUUACGCAUCAAUCGGCAGAAAAUACGAGAAAGAGAGAAA